GACGAACGCUGGCGGCGUGCUUAACACAUGCAAGUCGAACGGAAAGGCCCUGCUUUUGUGGGGUGCUCGAGUGGCGAACGGGUGAGUAACACGUGAGUAACCUGCCCUUGACUUUGGGAUAACUUCAGGAAACUGGGGCUAAAACCGGAUAGGAGCUCCUGCUGCAUGGUGGGGGUUGGAAAGUUUCGGCGGUUGGGGAUGGACUCGCGGCUUAUCAGCUUGUUGGUGGGGUAGUGGCUUACCAAGGCUUUGACGGGUAGCCGGCCUGAGAGGGUGACCGGCCACAUUGGGACUGAGAUACGGCCCAGACUCCUACGGGAGGCAGCAGUGGGGAAUAUUGCACAAUGGGCGGAAGCCUGAUGCAGCAACGCCGCGUGCGGGAUGACGGCCCUCGGGUUGUAAACCGCUUUCGCCUGUGACGAAGCGUGAGUGACGGUAAUGGGUAAAGAAGCACCGGCUAACUACGUG
rnacentral:rRNA from 1 species